CCCUUUCCUUAGUAGUGGGUGCAACUGCCACCAAGAACAACACCCAUGCCCAGGUGAUAACUAUGCCAACAUGGGUCAACAUCGCACCUCCUCAUCAAGGGCAGUUCCAGGACAGAGACCUGGAAUGCCAUGGUGAAAUCUCUACCUGAGGAUCAUGCAGCAGAAGAAAAACAACAAUAAUAGCAAACCAGGAGGUUGUGACCAUGAUGUGAGCUCUUCCUGAUGGCAUCUUUCUCAUCAAAAAAAGAAGAACCUCUCUUCUAUAAUCCAUCUUUCCAGGUUUGCAGAAGCUACUCCAUGCCAUUAAGGCUGCAGUUCUUUCUUUGCACGGAGCUGAGAACAAACCCACCUGGAGUAGAGCUGGCCUUUACCCAGUAAUAUGACUGCUCUAUUCAGUUACUUCAGUUAAUUUCAACUCCUAUUAUUAGGCAGGAGGAUGUCCUGUGCAAGCACUUUGUAACAGGUGGACAAAUGGGUGCUCUCCUGGAAUAUCCUGAAGAUUUAGUGAUGCGUUUUCUUCUAGUUCCAGGUGUCUAUAUGCUCCAAGUUCAAGAUCAUCCAGAGUUAACUCUGUAAUUGAUUCAGCCAAUAAUCACCCAGCAGAUGUACAUCCUGAGUGGUUUGCCACAUAUAUAACAAGAGGACAUUAAAACAUCAAAGAGCCCUCAAAAACUAUCAAGAUGAGUGGCAUCUAAAGUCUCAAGGGAGUAUACAAGAAGAUCCAUUAGAAAGCAGAAAAAAUAUUAGAUCACCUAUUUAUUUAUUUUAUCAUAUUUCUUUUAAACUUCUAUUUUGGAGAUAUUUUUAUAAUGUGCAUAAUAUAUUAGAACCUUACAGGUGCAUAUUAUUUUAAAUUAGUAUACAUCUAUUAAAGCAUGCAUGCUAAAUUUUUUUGUUAUCAUUACUUAUAGGACUGUCUGAUCAAAAAAAUAAGUUCUAAUACUAAUCAUCUAGUGCCCCCAAACCAAGUUCUGUCCACCACCUGAUUUGGGACAGAGCUACACCCAUUCAUUUACAUAGUAUCUUUGGCAGUUUUCACAUUAUAAUGGUAGAGUUUAGUUGUUGCCUCAGAGAGGGUAUGGCCCAUAAUUCUAAAUUAUUUACCAUCUGCCCCUGUACAGAAAAAAUUCCCUGACCCUUGAUCUCGACUAACCCCAUUUUUAUGGUAAAGGAAUUAAAGUCUAGAGAUGUUGAGUAAAUUGGCAAAGUAGAACUGAAGCCAUGGGUCUUCUUCAAAGCAUUGUUCAGCUAAUGCUUUGUGCACACUAUCACUUUGUCAUCCUCAUACUUCGUGUUCUUUCAAGUCUUUGACAUCCAAACUAAGAUAUCAGUAGACUAAAAUUCCAGUUUCACCCACAAAAGGCUGUUUCUACCUGGGCUCAUCUCUUAGGCACCCCCCCCCCCAUGCCUCAUUCUCCAGCCGGGUUGGGUCAGCUUCCUUUCACCACAGUGAGUGGCCUGUCCCGGCCAAAAGAUGCUGUCUCACUACUCAUCUGCUGUCUGGCCCAAACAGAACAUCACCUGGGUUUUUCUUUUCUUACACACUCUAAUAACUAUACUGUAUUUCUUGAAAUACCUGAAAAUGCAGUGACCUAAUAACAUGUUUACUUAUUUGGA